rnacentral:rRNA from 1 species
AUUGAACGCUGGCGGCAUGCUUUACACAUGCAAGUCGAACGGCAGCGCGGGCUUCGGCCUGGCGGCGAGUGGCGAACGGGUGAGUAAUGCAUCGGAACGUGCCCAGUAGUGGGGGAUAGCCCGGCGAAAGCCGGAUUAAUACCGCAUACGACCUGCGGGUGAAAGCGGGGGACCGAAAGGCCUCGCGCUAUUGGAGCGGCCGAUGUCGGAUUAGCUAGUUGGUGGGGUAAAGGCUUACCAAGGCGACGAUCCGUAGCUGGUCUGAGAGGACGACCAGCCACACUGGGACUGAGACACGGCCCAGACUCCUACGGGAGGCAGCAGUGGGGAAUUUUGGACAAUGGGGGCAACACUGAUCCAGCCAUGCUGCGUGCGGGAAGAAGGCCUUCGGGUUGUAAACCGCUUUUGUUCGGGAAGAAAUCCUCUGGGCUAAUACCCCGGGGGGAUGACGGUACCGGAAGAAUAAGCACCGGCUAACUACGUG